CGAGCGCGCGCUUGCUCGCGUCGCGCGCGACCCGGCUUCUAACUUUGUAACAACAGCAGAACAAAGCUGAAUAUACACACAGUGAUUAGAUUGUAACGCAAAAAAAAAACGCCAAGUGCGGUGCUUGUCUCUCUUACGUGCGUGCACAUGCGAAUCCGUCGGAAGCUUCGGAGCACGACGACGUACGUUCGACAUUCCGUGACGUCCGUCACGGAGGAUGUGCCGAGAGAGAAAGAACAACGCAUUGACCUGUUGCGCGAUCAAAAGCUUGCUAAUCUAGAGGCUGUCUAGAUUAGCGAAAGCGUAUCAUAAGAUAUCGACAAUGAAACAUCGACCAUGGUCGGAGUGUCUUGUCUUCUUAAAAUUGAGUAAUUCGGAACAUUCGUGUAUGUUUGACCUUUUGACCGGCGGAGGAUUAUAAUGUUGGAGCCGGUUCUGGGAUCGUCACCAACCUGGUGGUUGGCGCUGUACGCCAAUGUUUUGCUACUGCUGUCGCCCUUGGUGCUGCUGAUGCUCGUGUUUCUCCCGGAUUUUCCGAUUUUGCUGCUGCGGAGAAUCUGCUACAUACCGAUCGAAUCGAUCUGACCCAGAUCGAACACCGAUUCUCAUUGAAUGCUAGAUGAUCAUAAAACGAUCGAUGUAACAUUUAUAAGCAUCCAAUUAUGUUAAUAAUAACGUAAUUUACAAUGUAACGUAGUAACAAUGACAAACAUGAAAUGGUUUUACUAAUAUACAUAUUAUUUUAAUUAUUGCGCAAAGAUUUACGUAGUUCGAUUAGAAAAAUAAUAAUUGACAUGCUUUUGCAGCCAGUUUAUCGUUCGUCUUGUACGCACUUGUGUAACAACGAUGACGAAAGCGUAACAGAUGUUAGCGAGAAAUCAUAAAAUCAAUAUUGCGACAAAAAUAUUCGAUAUAGUACGUUUACAGCAUAACGUUAUGUAAAAAAAAAA